AUAAAGGAUCAAUACUGGAGGAGGCAGGUGGGAGGAGGGAGGAGGUAGGGAACUGGUCUGUCUGCCCAAUAUAAAGGAUCAAUACUGGAGGAGGAGGGUGGCAGCGGGAGGAGGUAGGGAACUGGUCUGUCUGCCCAAUAUAAAGGAUCAAUACUGGAGGAGGCGGGUGGCAGUGGGAGGAGGUAGGGAACUGGUCUGUCUGCCCAAUAUAAAGGAUCAAUACUGGAGGAGGCAGGUGGCAGUGGGAGGAGGUAGGGAACUGGUCUGUCUGCCCAAUAUAAAGGAUCAAUACUGGAGGAGGCAGGGAACUGGUCUGUCUGCCCAAUAUAAAGGAUCAAAACUGGCGGAGGAAUAAAAAUAGCAUAAAUAGGAAAGUUUACCAGUUCCAUUUGAGGACCAGGAUGUUGACAACUGUGCCAAACAGAUUGCAAAAUAGUUGGGAAGAGAUUUUUGAUGUACUGAUUUCAUGGUACAGGGUGUAUGAGUUGAUAUAUAAAACGCAAGAUUUAAGACUUCGUGCUUUUCAGCUAAAAUUAUUACAUAGAAUUCUUGCCACCAACAAAAUGUUGAAUAUUUGGGGCAUAAAAUCAUUGAAGCUCUGCAUAUUUUGUUGUGAGGAUACAGAAUCAAUAGACCAUUUAUUUGGGUAUUGCCCUCAGGUAGCCUGUUUCUGGUCUCUGGUUCAGGAAUGGCUGAUCAAAAAUUGACCCUAGAAAUAGUACUGUUAGGAGAUCUGGAGAGACCGGGUCCGGGUCAGUUAAUUACUAAUAUACUAAUACUCUUAGUUAAAGUAUUUAUCUUCAACACGCAAUCUGUAGAUUCUAUUCGAUUAGAUAGAUUGAAAUUGUACGUUAAAUAUUAUAGCAUUGUUGAAAGAUAUGUGUUGCGUAGAAACACGAAGUGGGUGACCAACAGAGAUAAAUGGGAUGGGCUGAGGGAAGUUGAGGGUUGGUAUGUGGAAUUGGAGACAAGUGGGAGUGGAGUUGCAUUAGUACAACUAAUGCCAGUUUGCCUGAGGCUGAUGCAGUGCAGGUGUUUUUACAACUAAUGCCAGUUUGCCUGAGGCUGAUGCAGUGCAGGUGUUUUUAAUGCCAGUUUGCCUGAGGCUGAUGCAGUGCAGGUGUUUUUAAUGCCAGUUUACCUGAGGCUGAUGCAGUGCAGGUGUUUUUACAACUAAUGCCAGUUUGCCUGAGGCUGAUGCAGUGCAGGUGUUUUUACAACUAAUGCCAGUUUGCCUGAGGCUGAUGCAGUGCAGGUGUUUUUAAUGCCAGUUUGCCUGAGGCUGAUGCAGUGCAGGUGUUUUUACAACUAAUGACGGUUUGCCUGAGGCUGAUGCAGUGCAGGUGUUUUUAAUGCCAGUUUGCCUGAGGCUGAUGCAGUGCAGGUGUUUUUAAUGCCAGUUUGCCUGAGGCUGAUGCAGUGCAGGUGUUUUUACAACUAAUGACGGUUUGCCUGAGGCUGAUGCAGUGCAGGUGUUUUUAAUGCCAGUUUGCCUGAGGCUGAUGCAGUGCAGGUGUUUUUACAGCUAAUGCCAGUUUGCCUGAGGCUGAUGCAGUGCAGGUGUUUUUACAACUAAUGACGGUUUGCCUGAGGCUGAUGCAGUGCAGGUGUUUUUACAACUAAUGCCAGUUUGCCUGAGGCUGAUCCAGUGCAGGUGUUUCUAAUGCCGGUUUGCCUGAGGCUGAUGCAGUGAAGGUGUUUCUAAUGCCGGUUUGCCUGAGGCUGAUGCAGUGAAGGUGUUUCUAAUGCCGGUUUACCUGAGGCUGAUGCAGUGCAGGUGUUUUUACAGCUAAUGCCAGUUUGCCUGAGGCUGAUGCAGUGCAGGUGUUUUUAAUGCCAGUUUACCUGAGGCUGAUGCAGUGCAGGUGUUUUUACAACUAAUGCCAGUUUGCCUGAGGCUGAUGCAGUGCAGGUGUUUUUACAACUAAUGCCAGUUUGCCUGAGGCUGAUGCAGUGAAGGUGUUUUUACAACUAAUGCCAGUUUGCCUGAGGCUGAUGCAGUGCAGGUGUUUUUACAACUAAUGCCGGUUUGCCUGAGGCUGAUGCAGUGCAGGUGUUUUUACAACUAAUGCCGGUUUGCCUGAGGCUGAUGCAGUGAAGGUGUUUUUACAACUAAUGCCAGUUUGCCUGAGGCUGAUGCAGUGCAGGUGUUUUUAAUGCCAGUUUACCUGAGGCUGAUGCAGUGCAGGUGUUUUUACAACUAAUGCCAGUUUGCCUGAGGCUGAUGCAGUGCAGGUGUUUUUACAACUAAUGCCAGUUUGCCUGAGGCUGAUGCAGUGAAGGUGUUUUUACAACUAAUGCCAGUUUGCCUGAGGCUGAUGCAGUGCAGGUGUUUUUACAACUAAUGCCAGUUUGCCUGAGGCUGAUGCAGUGCAGGUGUUUUUACAACUAAUGCCAGUUUGCCUGAGGCUGAUGCAGUGCAGGUGUUUUUACAACUAAUGCCAGUUUGCCUGAGGCUGAUGCAGUGCAGGUGUUUUUAAUGCCAGUUUGCCUGAGGCUGAUGCAGUGCAGGUGUUUUUAAUGCCAGUUUGCCUGAGGCUGAUGCAGUGCAGGUGUUUUUAAUGCCAGUUUGCCUGAGGCUGAUGCAGUGAAGGUGUUUUUACAACUAAUGCCAGUUUGCCUGAGGCUGAUGCAGUGCAGGUGUUUUUAAUGCCAGUUUGCCUGAGGCUGAUGCAGUGCAGGUGUUUUUAAUGCCAGUUUGCCUGAGGCUGAUGCAGUGCAGGUGUUUUUAAUGCCAGUUUGCCUGAGGCUGAUGCAGUGCAGGUGUUUUUAAUGCCAGUUUGCCUGAGGCUGAUGCAGUGCAGGUGUUUUUAAUGCCAGUUUGCCUGAGGCUGAUGCAGUGCAGGUGUUUUUACAACUAAUGCCAGUUUGCCUGAGGCUGAUGCAGUGAAGGUGUUUUUAAUGCCAGUUUGCCUGAGGCUGAUGCAGUGCAGGUGUUUGUACACAUGCAUAUACACACACUCUCAUUCAAAUAAACACAUGUAAGAACACACACAUACAUGUAAUAGUGCCAGACAUGCAAACAAACAUAUAAAGUCGGCAUUGCUGUUAUGAUUUCACUUGUCCUUGAUGUCCUUUGUUUUAAAUUAAUUGUUUUAUUUUGCAUUGUUGUUCUCUGUUUUCUUCUGUCUUUUCCUUUUUUCUCUUUAGUUGAUUCUCUUGGUUGUUGGUGCAUUGGGAGGUUCUUGGGGGUGGGGAAUGGAAUCAAGUAUAUAUUUUUUUCUUCUGGGGUGGACUGUGGGAGGGGUCUCGAAUGGUUGAGGGACAGCUAUUGGGGAACUGUGGGGGGAUCUUGGAGGGUUUGGGUUUCACAGAUUGUGAUCAUGAAAAAGGAAAUGACAUGACAUUUAUUGUAUAUCACUAUCAUGCACAUGCACCCUCACACAUAAGGAUGGCUCUGUUGCGGAAAGACUGAUACAUGUUUGACAAUGUCUUGAUGCUGUAUUGGUUGUCCUUCAUGUUCUAAUACUUUAAUGUUCCUCCUUCCCUGUGUUUUUGUAAUAAGUAAUUAUCAAAAAAAAAUAUAUAUAUAUUUUUUUAAACAACAGCCCUUACAGUUGACUGGGGCAGCUCAAGCAGGACAGACAUUUGACUAACUGACUUGUUGGAAAGGUGGCAUCCUAUGACGGUGCCGCGUUGAAAGUCACUGAGCUCUUCAGUAAGGCCCUUCUACUGCUAAUGUUUGGCUAUGGAGAUUAAAUGGCUGUGUGCUCGAUUUUAUACGCCUGUCAGCAACGGGUGUGGCUGAAAUAGCCAAAUCCACUAAUUUGAAGGUGUGUCUACAUACUUUUGUGUAUAUAGUGUACCGUAUAUCUGUCAUGUUCCUUUCUAUGCCUCUGUUAAGAGAAGUUACAGAACUGUUGAUUUUCUUUCUUUAACUACAGCAUUCUCAUUAGAACCUUCAGGCCCAUUUCAAUCAGAUUCACUUUACUGAUGUUUUGACGAUGUUGAAGAUGGAACUGCAUUAGAGCUGUCAAAUCUAAAACGGCUCCCGGCAUUAUACCUAAAGCAGACAUUGUCAUUUGCUGCAGAGUCAAUUGAGAUAUAUCUCAUGCAGACUUGUUUACAAGUUCCAACACUAUAAUGUGAGAUGUAAUCUACACCUCCAUUAGGAUGUUAGAAAUCCUCAUUAUUUAGUUUCAUGAUUUUCAAUUUGAGCGUCAUUAUUUCUAUAUAGCCCACACUUUCUCCUUCUGAACCUCUAACGCAAGUGGGACGGGUGUGGCUUCGUGACAAUGGGAGGAUUUGAUAAUGCUGAGCCGUGGGGCACCGGUCUAUGGCCCCUGACGUCAACGGGCAAAAGAAAUGAGGGAGGAGAGCCCUUCUCAAAUGGAACAGUAAUCUGCGCCACUCAGUCAACAAGGCAGCAUGGUGCAUUGUCCAGAAACAUACAUCUAUUUAACAUAAAAUAUAAAUGUAGGGUUGAAUUUUCAAACUGGUUUUCAUUGGGAAGGAAGAUAAAGCGUUUUUAUCAAAAGCAAUCACUUACUCCUCCAUUAAUUAAUGAAAUGAUUUACUUCAGUUUGUUUUGAGCCGUCUUUGCCAUGGGCUUUGAAUGGGGCACCUGGCUCACGCCCGGGAGGCAGCCUGGUUCCCAGAAUGAAUGCAAUCAACUUUCAUCCGGUGCAAAACCCAGGCGCCCGAGCCAGAUUAAUCAAAUCCCCACAUUGAACACAAGAGCAGCUGCUCACCGAUUUGACAGCUCCAAUGCAACUCCACCUCCAACACCACCAAAACAUCAGCUAUGCGGGUGUCGGCUAUUAAAUCAAAUCAAAUUGUAUUUGUUACAUGCACCGAAUACAACAGGUAGACCUUACCAUGAAAUGCGUAUUUACAAGCCCGUAACCAACAAUGCAGUUUGUUUUAAGUAAGAAAAUAUUUGCUACAAAAAUACAUAAAAAUAAAAAGUAUUUAAAAAAGUAACACAAUAAAAUAACCAUAACAAGGCUAUAUAGGAGGUAUAGGUACAGAGUCAAUGUGAGGGGGUACAGGUUAGUCGAGGUAGUUGAGGUAAUAUGUCUAUGCAUAGAUAAUAAACAGCCAGUAGCAGCAGCUUAAAAAAGGGGGUGAAUGCAAAUUGUCCGGGGUAGCAACUUGAGUCUCUGCUCGGCAGUCUCAUGGCUUGGGGGUAGAAGUUGUUAAGGAGCCUUUUGGACCUCGACUUGGCGCUCCUGUACCGCUUGCCAUGCAGAGAGAACAGCCUAGGACUUGGGAGGUUGGAGUCUUUGACAAUAUUUAGGGCCUUCCUCUGACACCGCCUAGUAUAGAGGUCCUGGACGACAGGAAGCUUGGCCCGGUUUAUAUUUGCAGCUACUCUUCCUGGGGUCCAGGAAAAUUAAGACAGUUAUACAAUUGCAAAAACAUUACAAUAUAUUCAAAACAGAUUUCACAACACUUUGUGUGCCCUCAGGUCCCUACUCUACUACCACAUAUCUACAACACAAAAUCCAUGUGUAUGUGUGUGUAUAGUGCGUAUGUUAUCGUAUGUGUCUGUGCUUAUGUUUGUGUUUUUUCACAGUCCCCGGUGUUCCAUAAGGUGCAUUUGUAUCUGUUUUUUAAAUCUAAUUUUACUGCUUGCAUCAGUUACUUGAAGUGGAAUAGAGUUUCCAUGUAGUCAUGGCUCUAUGUAGUACUGUGCGCCUCCCAUAGUCUGUUCUGGAUGUGGGGAUUGUGAAGAGACCUCUGGUGGCAUGUCGGUUAAUAUUUGAUCUGAUUAAGUCUUAGCCUUCAGAUACGGUGAAAUAUGCAGUACCUGCUAGGUGAAGACAUCUGUUUCUGAUGUUAUCUACAGUACUGACAGUAAGGACAUCGUAGUACUUAGUUUCACUUGCUAUAUGAUGCAUUUGUUUUGUUGUUAAUGUCAUAAAAUACCUGUCAAAAACACUUCCAAUAAAGCAUCACAGUACUGCUGUCUGUAUUAUUAUGCAAACCACACAAUGUUCAACAAAUGGAAAUAAUUGAAAACUCAUUUUUUAAAGAAAACAGAAGGUUAUAUUUAUGCUAUUCAAUUGUUUUGUUUAAUAUACAACAUUAAGAAUGAAAAUGUAGAAUUAGAAAAGUGGUGAUAUUUAAAUAAACAUUGACAGGGAAACAGCAGAAAAGUGGUGAUAUUUAAAUAAACAUUGACAGGGAAACUGCAGAAAAGCUGGUGAUAUUUAAAUAAACAUUGACAGGGAAACAGCAGAAAUACAUACAAUACCCCAUAAUGAAAGAGCAAAAACAGGUUUUAGGAUUUUUUUUGCAAAUAAGAAAUAAAAAACUGAAAUAUCACAUGUACAUAAGUAUUCAGACCCUUUACUCAGUACUUUGUUAAACUGCUUUUGGCAACCCUUUGGGUUGGAGGAGCAAACCCAGAGAAGACAAGGCAGGAUACAGGCAAAGAUUUUUUUAUAACUAACCCAAUGUAGACUGGGCAGAACAAACAAGGAAAUGGGGAGAGCCAAGCACGAGCUAGCGAGAUCGUAUUGACUCGUUCUAUCAUGUAUUUGCAUAUUUCUGUUAGGGAACACCUACUCUGUGAAAUGUGUGUGUGCAAUAACUCAAUUCGCCCAUGCACACAUUCUAAACAUCUCACUUUUUAGAAACUUUGGGAAAAGGUCAAGUCUACAAAACGCAGUCAGUCCACUGUUCGUAACAGAUUCUAGUUUUGGGAACGGAAAACUGUAUGGAAAUCAGAUGUUUCAUUAAUAAUCUCUGCUCCAUCUCCUCCCACUGCUGGCACCUGGGCUUCUUCUUCUUCUUCUGUAGGAAUGGAUGGCAUCCAACUUUUAGACACCGCCACCUACUUUAAAUCAAAUCAACUGUAUUGGUCACAUACACAUGGUUAGCAGAUGUUAAUGCGAGUGUAGCGAAAUGCUUGUGCUUCUGGUUCCAACAAUGCAGUAGUAACCAACGAGUAAUCUAACCUAACAAUUUCAAAACUACUACCUUAUACACACACAAAUGUAAAGAGAUAAAGAAUAUGUACAUAAAGAUAUAUGAAUGAGUGAUGGUACAGAACGGUAUAGGCAAGAUGCAGUAGAUGCUAUCGAGUACAGUAUAUACAUAUGAGAUGAGUAAUGUAGGGUAUGUAAACAAAGUGCCAUAGUUUAAAGUGUAUUACAUAAAGAUGCAGUAGAUGAUAGAGUACAGUAUAAACAUAUACAUAUGAGAUAAGUAAUGUAGGGUAUGUAAACAUUAUAUUAAGUAGCAUAGUUUAAAGUGGCUAGUGAUAUAUUUUACAUCAAUUCCCAUUAUUGAAGUGGCUGGAGUUGAGUCAGUGUGUUGGCAGCAGCCACUCAAUGUUAGUGGUGGCUGUUUAACAGUCUGAUGGCCUUGAGAUAGAAGCUGUUUUUCAGUCUCUCGGUCCCUGCUUUGAUGCACCUGUACUGACCUUGCCUUCUGGAUGAUAGCGGGGUGAACAGGCAGUGGCUCGGGUGGUUGUUGUCCUUGAUGAUCUUUAUGGCCUUCCUGUGACAUCGGGUGGUGUUGGUAUCCUGGAGGGCAGGUAGUUUGCCCCCAGUGAUGCGUUGUGCAGACCUCACUACCCUCUGGAGAGCCUUACAGUUGUGAGUGGAGCAGUUGCCGUACCAGGUGGUGAUACAGCCCGACAGGAUGCUCUCGAUUGUGCAUCUGUAGAAGUUUGUGAGUGCUUUUGGUGACAAGCCGAAUUUCUUCAGCCUCCUGAGGUUCCAGAGGUGCUGCUGCGCCUUCUUCACGAUGCUGUCUGUGUGGGUGGACUAAUUUGUUUUGUCCGUGAUGUGUACACCGAGGAACUUAAAACUUACUACCCUCUCCACUACUGUCCCAUCGAUGUGGAUAGGGGGGUGCUCCCUCUGCUGUUUCCUGAAGUCCACAAUCAUCUCUUUUGUUUUGUUGACGUUGAGUGUGAGGUUAUUUUCCUGACACCACACUCCGAGGGCCCUCACCUCCUCCCUGUAGGCUGUCUCGUCGUUGUUGGUAAUCAAGCCUACCACUGUUGUGUGUCGUCCGCAAACUUGAUGAUUGAGUUGGAGGCGUGCGUGGCCACGCAGUCGUGGGUGAACAGGGAGUACAGGAGAGGGCUCAGAACGCACCCCUGUGGGGCCCCAGCGUUGAGGAUCAAAGGGGUGCAGAUGUUGUUACCUACCCUCACCACCUGGGGGCGGCCCGUCAGGAAGUCCUGUACCCAGUUGCACAGGGCGGGGUCGAGACCCAGGGUCUCGAGCUUGAUGACGAGUUUAGAGGGUACUAUGGUGUUAAAUGCUGAGCUGUAGUCGAUGAACAUUCUCACAUAGGUAUUCCUCUUGUCCAGAUGGGUCAGGGACCUAUGUGGACCUAUUUGGGCGGUAAGCAAAUUGGAGUGGGUCUAGGGUUUCAGGUAGGGUGGAGGUGAUAUGGUCCUUGACUAGGCUCUCAAAGCACUUCAUGAUGACGGAAGUGAGUGCUACGAGGCGGUAGUUGUUUAGCUCAGUUACCUUAGAUAUCUUGGGAACAGGGACAAUGGUGGCCCUCUUGAAGCAUGUGGGAACAGCAGACUGGUAUAGGGAUUGAUUGAAUAUGUCUGUAAACACACCAGCCAGCUGGUCUGCGCAUGCUCUGAGGACGCGGCUAGGGAUGCCGUCUGGGCCUGUAGCCUUGCGAGGGUUAACACGUUUAAAUGUUUUACUCAUUUUGUCUGUCAUAGUUGAAGUGUACAUAUGAUGAAAAUUACAGGCCUCUCUCAUCUUUUUAAGUGGGAGAACUUGCACAAUUGGUGGCUGACUAAAUACUUUUUUGCCCCACUGUACCAUGUUAUUUUCCUGCCAUGGUACUGACCAAAAAAAUAUAUACCAUUGUUUUGUCCUACCAGCAUGUAGUGAAACAUGAAAGCAUGGUAUUUGUUUACAAUGUAUUAUGAUGGUCUGUGUCCCACCGUUUUUCAGAUAAAGUAACCAAAACGUAGUAAUUUAUGGUAACGUCAACUCACGUAAACUCGUACAUCGCCUUGGUCCGUACAAUUGCCCUUAUUUUAGCGCCCCCAAAACGUAAUACUUCCAGAUCAACUGUAAUGUCAAUACCAUUGUAAAGCACAAUUUCUCCCCUUUCCAACAGAAUCAAUUUCAUGACCUAAACACUGCCCGUUUCUGCAUAAUUCAAGCAGGCAAUGAGUCCCGUCGGGUCUUUUAAAAAAUGGCAGGUGGGGAAGCCAAACUAAUGCGUGAUAGUGAGACGGAGAGAUGUGUGGGAAAAUAGCUUUUUUUCACCCGAUCUGUCCAACUUAUCACCUUAUCGCCUCUAAAAUGUAAAUGAACACUAUAAAAAGUUUAUAUAAUGUUUCAUCACAUUUGAAGGUUUGUGUCGAAUUUGAAUCGGGUAUUUAGGGCGGUGCUAAAGUGAUCUUAGAAAUAAACAGCGGCUUUGAGAAUGAUGAUCGCAUGCAAUGAUGACGCAAAAAAUGACGAGGUAUCCUCCCCUUACUGUCCAUUUCUUGUUUCUAAAGGAUGAGUGUAGUGCUACACCUGGUGGAGAGAGAUUGUAAGACAGAAAUAGUUGCUUUAUGCGUGCUGUACUUUACGACAUGACACGUCCCGAAGUAACGGAGGGUUCGUUUUUUUCAACUUUUCUCCAAUACUAUAGAGCCAUUAUCAUGUCGAUCAACGCUUGAAUAGAAACCUAGUUCACGCCCCCGAUUUUGAAGUCAACAUAGUCCCAUUAGUUUUCUUUGUAGCCUCAUUUGAAUGUUGCGGUUGCGCACAUUUGUACGGAAUGGGGUGAGUUUACUCACUUAAUGCAACAUUGACUACUAGCUCUGCAAUGGCAAAGCGUAGGUCUAGUACCCUCUUAAAUCCCUUUAUCGCUUAGUCAAAAAGCACAACACACAGCCUAGUAGUGUAGUGUACCCUCUUAAACCUUGGGACCUGGAUAGGGUAUGGUGAGAAGAAUGAAGGAAGUCUGAAACCAUGACGAUUUAAAAUAGUUCAUCUGGUGCUUCUCUCUUCAAUACAGUUCUCAGUUGGUUCUCUCUCAUUCAACUGACUUGACUACUCUUGUACAAUUGUAAAUAGCCAACAUAAUCUUUUUAUACUAUUAUUUUUUUUACUAUUUACUAUCGUAUCUAAUAGAUACAUGUUCAUCGUGUAAUUCUCAACAUAUCCCUAAAAACAGCAAGCUACAACGCUUCCCUUUGUUUACACUGUGAGAACGUUCGUUGGUUCUGUCGCCACGACGACAGGCUAGCUUGACUGGAGCUAAUUUUAGCCGACGUUAGCUUUUAUGCUAACAUACUUUUAGAAAUGAAUUGAACUAUGAAAACAUUAUUAAGAAAUAACAACAACCAUAUCAUUACACUCCGCAUAACUUCGUGUCAUAUCCUAUGCUUUCUAACUCGCUCACCGUAAUGACAACGUUUAAAAUGUUUUGUUUUUAGAUGGCUCCUCACUCCUGUUCAAACUGACUCACUGACUAGUCAGGUUAGCACGAGCCACUGUAGAGGGAGACGCGUGAGGGCAACCACUGGAGCGAGCGGCUCCCCCUGCCGGCCGAAACAUGCGCAACACCCCUUGACUGUCAAUAUUGUGAAUUAUUACAAAAUGCCAAAGAGUAGGCUACCAUAUAUCUCACAUUCUCCUACAUUUCAGGUAAUCAAC